rnacentral:rRNA from 1 species
UGCGCAGGUGGGCUUGUAAGUCAGUGGUGAAAUACUGCCGCUUAACGUUAGAACUGCCAUUGAUACUGCGAGUCUUGAGUAUGGUUGAGGUAGGCGGAAUGUGUUGUGUAGCGGUGAAAUGCAUAGAUAUGACACAGAACGCCGAUUGCGAAGGCAGCUUACUAAGCCAUUAUUGACGCUGAGGCACGAAAGCGUGGGGAGCGAACAGGAUUAGAUACCCUGGUAGUCC